GAGUUUAGAUCAGUUAAGCGUCAACUGUGCUCAGAGAACAAAGUUGUUGGAGAUCUAGUGAACAAUAAACUACUAUUCAUUACAAACAUCUUUCACUUUAAAAAAAUUUUAGUAAAUGAAAAUAUAUAAGCAAUGAAAAUUUUAUUUCAUAAUUUAAAAAAUUUUUUUUUUUUACUAACCAUUGAAAUUAUACUGAAUUGUAAUUCACAGUUAAAUAGCUAUGUUAUAAGUGAAGAAAGUGUUUGAAAAGAAUCAACUGGAAAGAUUAGAAAUCUACCAACAAUGUGGAACGAUACUUUAUUAAAUUUAACAAUCAACGAAACAAUGACAACUCCAGCAACAAUAACACUGUCAAAACGACAUGUGUCUAUUGGUUCUCAAAUAGUGUUAACUUUCGUCUACUUAUGUGGUAUCUUUGGCAACGUAUCAGCGUUAAUUACUCUAUUCUACAAAGACAAGCGGCGAAACAGGAAGCAUUUGCUGAUGCUGCGUUGUUUGGCAACUAAUGACUUGGUUGCCCUUUUAGGCAUGUUGAUACAGAUGUACAUAACAAUCUAUGUGAACUCAGUCACGAAAUCACAAAAAUUUUGUUCACUGAGAAUAGUCUGGCGCCUUUUUGGACUCUUUAGUGGAUGCGUCGCAAUAGUUAUGGCAGCUGAGAGAUGGCUAGCUUUGACCCGGCCUUUCGUUUAUCAAAAGCAUGUGACGUUUCCAAGAAUUGUUCAGUGUAUGCUGGGCUUGUGGAUUGCAGCAUUGACUUUGACAAGUUUACCCCUUUUUGGAUUUGGAUUGUAUUAUAAAAAUGGUAAUUGUGUGCGUUAUCGUGAAGCCACUGAACCAAUAGAUAUUUCUUAUGCUUACGUCUGGUUUUUCUUCGGAACAUUACUUUGUUUAUCAAUAGUAUGGUGCAACUUGGCUGUUUCGAGAGUACUUCGAAAACUUGGUCAAAAGUAUGGAGUAUUGAGAAGAGUCUCCAGAUCUUCUUCACGUAAUAAGCCAUUUCUUUCGUCUACUAAGUCAUCAACACCUUCAGAAAUCGGGACAACUGUUGAAGAACGUGCUUUUGCGAAAUUGAUGGCAGUACUGUCAAUAUCGUUCGUAAUCUGCUGGAUGCCACAAAUGAUAUCGAUUCCUUUAGCUCAAUAUUCACUAAGCCUCGGAGAAGAUGUAAAACUUAUCAAAAAAAUAAUCCGACUUUUCCAUAUAAUUGCGGACAUACUUCUUUGUAUUCAUUUUACGUUGGACCCAUACAUUUACGUGCUAUUGCGAAUGCCUAGAGGGAGAAUUCCUUUGAAUAAAUACUUAAAGAGGAUUUGUUGUCCGGUGAGGAGUCGCAACAGCUCUUUUGCUGAAACCACAGAUCAUUGUGGUAGCAGUGGAGAUCCACCAACUCCAAUAACUGAAGUACCACCUCUCAUAAAUGGACAUUUUCAUGAAGUGUAUACAGAAACCAUGACUCUCUAAUAUCAAUUGACUGAUAUCAUCAAUUUACUAUUGAGUCGAUUUAUUUAUUGUAAAAAUAAUAAUCAUACUUAAAUAAUACUCGAGUAGGCUUUAAACAAAUGACAAAGUGAUAAAUGGAAUUAAAAGAAUCUCAUAAAAUUUUAAUAGUAUUUAAAAAAAUUUAGUACUUCAUAAUCAAUAAUUAAUUUUCCAAAUAUACAAAUAAGAUAAUAAUUGUAUAAAUAGAACGUAAAUACAUUUUUACGAUGAUAAUAAUCUAUUUGUUAAAGUAUUCGCCUGUUAUUGCACUCCAGCAAAAUAUAGUAUUAAUUAAUAAAUAUUAUUAAAUUUUUCUUAAUUAGUUUAGACAACUUAUUUCCAAUAAUUUUCUUAACAAAAUAAUGAUCUGACUCUCAGACAUUUAGAAUGUUUACUUUUAGCUAUGAUGUCAGUUACCUUAAGUACGGGUUUUCAGUAUAUACAUGGCUUAAUAAAAUAUAUCAAUUAAAUUUUCCACAGCAGCAGGUGAUUAGUGGAAUCUUCUCUACCUGCUUGGAGCUCUGUUGAACCUUGAGGACCACGAAAAUCCUCGUAGCCAUCACCUCCAGAUAUAAUUAAUAAUUUUUUCCGAUUUAAAUUAUUUUGUGGCGAUUUCAUUUUUAUAGAACAUCGAUUUAUGUCGGAAGAAAUAUCAGACUUAAUUGAGGAUGGUGCUUCCACACACGUGAUGAAGCGAACGUGACCAGUAUGACCAUGUGGAAUACCUGAAAAAUCAAUAGACCAUUGAGUUUUAUAAUAAUCAAUAAUUAAUCACCUGAGAAGAGUAAUAGAAUAGUAUUUAUAUACCAAUAACUGGCGGAGACUGCGGUAACCGCUGUGUGGAGGAUUUUAUAUGAGGAAUAGGUACCGUAAGAAGUACACCUGCACUUGUACCGAUCCAUAAAAUAUCAUUGCAUGCCAAAAGAGCGGUUACUCGUAAGCAUGCUGCUUUGUGUUGUCGUAUUAUAUCAUCACAGUCUGCAACAAAUUUAAUUUUUCUGUUAAAAUAAAUUUCAUUGCUUCAUUCACUAUAAAAUUGAUGUAUUUUAUAGUAAAUGAUAGCUGUUCAAGUGGACUAGGAUAUUGCUCUAGGAUUUAAUACUUACUGGCAAGCAUUUUAGUUACAGCAGGGGCAAUAUUGAUGUCUGUUAAACAUUCAUAUGAAGUAGUAUGGAAAAGUUUAAGUACUGCACUAUUGUGAAGUGAGAUCCACACACCAAGACCAUUUGAAGCUGCCAAGUACCAUUUUUGUUACCGGUGUUUCCGGUGUACCAACUGAGACUGUCAAAGCAUCUAAUGUACUCCAGCCAUCUAUAAAAUGAACCAUUGAAUUACUUCAUUGUAAUCUAUUAUAAUUAUAUUGAGAGAGCAUAAUGGACAUAAUUUACUUACAAUGUGCAUCUCGAGAAUAAAUAGUUACAUCGCCAUUCGCCAGAGCCACAAAUACUUUAUUAUCUAGAUAUCUUAUAAUAAAAAAGAAAAAAAAAUUAA
rnacentral:misc_RNA from 1 species